rnacentral:tRNA from 1 species
UCCCUGCUGGUCCAGUGCUUAGAACUCUGCACUUUCACUGCUGAGGGCACAGGUUCAAUCCCUGGUGGGGGAA